rnacentral:tRNA from 1 species
UGGUGGUUCAGUGGUAGAAUUCUCGCCUUCCACGCGGGAGACCCAAGUUCGAUUCUUGGCCA